rnacentral:rRNA from 1 species
GACGAACGCUGGCGGCGUGCCUAAUACAUGCAAGUUGAGCGCUGAAGGUUGGUACUUGUACCGACUGGAUGAGCAGCGAACGGGUGAGUAACGCGUGGGGAAUCUGCCUUUGAGCGGGGGACAACAUUUGGAAACGAAUGCUAAUACCGCAUAAAAACUUUAAACACAAGUUUUAAGUUUGAAAGAUGCAAUUGCAUCACUCAAAGAUGAUCCCGCGUUGUAUUAGCUAGUUGGUGAGGUAAAGGCUCACCAAGGCGAUGAUACAUAGCCGACCUGAGAGGGGGAUCGGCCACGUUGGGACUGAGACACGGCCCAAACUCCUACGGGAAGCAGCAGUAGGGAAUCUUCGGCAAUGGACGAAAGUCUGACCGAGCAACGCCGCGUGAGUGAAGAAGGUUUUCGGAUCGUAAAACUCUGUUGGUAGAGAAGAACGUUGGUGAGAGUGGAAAGCUCAUCAAGUGACGGUAACUACCCAGAAAGGGACGGCUAACUACGUGCCAGCAGCCGCGGUAA